AGCAGCCGCGGUAAUUCCAGCUCCAAUAGCGUAUUCUAAAGUUGUUGUGAUUAAAAAGCUCGUAGUUGGAUUUCUGGUGUGGCGCGCCUGACCCUCUGCUCCUUGUGGGCGAUGGUGUCGGUGCGCGCCUACCAUCCUUCUAGAUAGCCGGUCUGCCCUUCAUUGGGUGGGCCUGGUGGUCUGGAUCAUUUACCUUGAAUAAAUUAGAGUGUUUAAAGCAGGCUGUAGCGCUAUGAAUACAUUAGCAUGGAAUAAUAAGAUAGGACUUUGUCUCUAUUUUGUUGGUUUCUAGGAAUGAAGUAAUGAUUGAUAGGGAUAGUUGGGGGUGCUAGUAUUCGACGGCCAGAGGUGAAAUUCUUGGAUUCGUUGAAGACUGACUAAAGCGAAAGCAUUCACCAAGGAUGUCUUCUUUAAUCAAGAACGAAAGUUGGGGGAUCGAAGACGAUCAGAUACCGUCGUAGUCUCAACCAUAAACUAUGCCGACUAGGGAUCAGUGAACGUUGCGUUUUGACUUCAUUGGCACCUUACGAGAAAUCAGAAGUUUUUGGGUUUCAGGGGGAGUAUGGUCGCAAGGCUGAAACUUAAAGGAAUUGACGGAAGGGCACCACCAGGAGUGGAGCCUGCGGCUUAAUUUGACUCAACACG
rnacentral:rRNA from 1 species